rnacentral:rRNA from 1 species
CAGUCGCCGCGGGAAUACGGAGGGUGCAAGCGUUAAUCGGAAUUACUGGGCGUAAAGCGCACGCAGGCGGUCUGUCAAGUCAGAUGUGAAAUCCCCGGGCUUAACCUGGGAACUGCAUUUGAAACUGGCAGGCUAGAGUCUUGUAGAGGGGGGUAGAAUUCCAGGUGUAGCGGUGAAAUGCGUAGAGAUCUGGAGGAAUACCGGUGGCGAAGGCGGCCCCCUGGACAAAGACUGACGCUCAGGUGCGAAAGCGUGGGGAGCAAACAGGAUUAGAUACCCCUGUAGUCCCUGUCUCUUAUAC